rnacentral:rRNA from 1 species
UACGGGAGUGGCAAGCGUUAUCCGGAAUUAUUGGGCGUAAAGCGUCCGCAGGCGGUCUGUCAAGUCUGCUGUUAAAGCGUGGAGCUUAACUCCAUUAAGGCAGUGGAAACUGACAGACUAGAGUGUGGUAGGGGCAGAGGGAAUUCCCGGUGUAGCGGUGAAAUGCGUAGAUAUCGGGAAGAACACCAGUGGCGAAGGCGCUCUGCUGGGCCAUAACUGACGCUCAUGGACGAAAGCCAGGGGAGCGAAAGGGAUUAGAUACCCCUGUAGUCCUGGCCGUAAACGAUGAACACUAGGUGUCGGGGGAAUCGACCCCCUCGGUGUCGUAGCCAACGCGUUAAGUGUUCCGCCUGGGGAGUACGCACGCAAGUGUGAAACUCAAAGGAAUUGACGGGGGCCCGCACAAGCGGUGGAGUAUGUGGUUUAAUUCGAUGCAACGCGAAGAACCUUACCAGGGUUUGACAUCCUGCGAAUCCCUUGGAAACGAGGGAGUGCCUUCGGGAGCGCAGUGACAGGUGGUGCAUGGCUGUCGUCAGCUCGUGUCGUGAGAUGUUGGGUUAAGUCCCGCAACGAGCGCAACCCACGUCGUUAGUUGCCAGCAUUCAGUUGGGCACUCUAGCGAGACCGCCGGUGAUAAACCGGAGGAAGGUGUGGAUGACGUCAAGUCAUCAUGCCCCUUACAUCCUGGGCUACACACGUACUACAAUGCUACGGACAAAGGGCAGCAAACUCGCGAGAGCUAGCAAAUCCCAUAAACCGUGGCUCAGUUCAGAUCGUAGGCUGCAACUCGCCUACGUGAAGGAGGAAUCGCUAGUAAUCGCAGGUCAGCAUACUGCGGUGAAUACGUUCCCGGGCCU